UCAAAGCAAGAACCCCUGUGAGGCAAAUCCCUCACCUCCUGCAGAUCCAGCUUUGAACAUUGCACCUUAACAUGCUCCGUAAAAGAUAUUAUAUGGAAUCAAUUUGAGCCGGAACACACCUCAUGUUCACAUUCUUAUGCUGGCUCCCUGGUAUAACUGGACAAAAAUUUUGCAACACAAUUAUAAAAGUUGAUUACCAUUGUUCGGAGCAUUACACGGACACAUAGCCACAGGUAAACCCAGGCACAUAGAUAACACCUUAGUCUUCAAAGACCCAGGAGUCAAAUCUCCUUAAUUGAGAUCGUUUGUCCAUGUUUAUACAAACAAAACACAUUAGCCUCACACACAUAGAACAGAAUAAUUAAUCUGAUGACAGACGAGACAACAAACACCCUCUGACACCCUCUGUCAGCUGAAAAGAAAUUACACAUUUGCAUGGCUUUGACAACAAAUUGAUGGUAUAAAACUUCAAUAGAGGCGAACUUGCCAAUAAAUUUAAGAUAGAUACACUGACUGUUGUGGGGAUGGUUGACAAACCAGAGGGCCCCUGGUUUUCCAAUCUAUCACCAAUAACAGGUAUAAGUGCUAAAGUGAUUAAAAUUAAACCGAAGUGAGGACACU